GAGUAGCCGUGUGCUGGGAAACUGGCAAGCACGGUUUCGGACGGGAGGGGUGGAACAGUAAUGUUCCCCUCGACCCUCU
rnacentral:ncRNA from 1 species